CAGUAGCCGCGGUAAUACGUAGGGUGCAAGCGUUAAUCGGAAUUACUGGGCGUAAAGCGUGCGCAGGCGGUUCGCUAAGACAGAUGUGAAAUCCCCGGGCUUAACCUGGGAACUGCAUUUGUGACUGGCGGGCUAGAGUAUGGCGGAGGGGGGUAGAAUUCCACGUGUAGCAGUGAAAUGCGUAGAGAUGUGGAGGAAUACCGAUGGCGAAGGCGGCCAUCUGGGACAACACUGACGCUGAGGCACGAAAGCGUGGGGAGCAAACAGGAUUAGAUACCCCGGUAGUCCCUGUCUCUUAUAA
rnacentral:rRNA from 1 species